AUGUGUGCUGAUGACUUCUCCAUAUGUGUGGUUUCUUUUGUACUUAGAAACCAACUUGAAAACUUCAUUGCUGAUGUGAGGGCUGAUUCAAGUUUUGUUAGUUGUAAUGACCUUGGUAGUCUUGCUGUGAAGAUGGUUCAAACUGAUAGACACAUAGUCUUUCCUUUGGUAUAUCGUCUUAUUGAGUUGGCAUUGAUUUUGCCUGUUGCAACCGUGGAAAGAGCUUUCUCAACUAUGAGUAUUAUCAAGACUGAGUUGAGGAAUAAGAUGGGUGAUGAUUGGUUGAAUUAUUCCAUGGUGUGCAAUAUUGAGCGAGAUAUUUGCAAAGGUUGA
rnacentral:rRNA from 1 species